CCCUUAGAUGUUCUGGGCCGCACGCGUGCUACACUGAGUGGAUCAGCGGGUCAGGUUGCGCGAAAGUGUUUCCUAAUCUUGAAAUCCGCUCGUGAUGGGGAUUGACGGUUGCAAUUUUCCGUCAUGAACGAGGAAUACCUUGUAAGCGCGGGUCAUCAUCCCGCGCUGAAUACGUCCCUGCCCUUUGUACACACCGCCCGUCGCUCCUACCGAUUGAGUGGUCCGGUGAGGCUUUGGGAUCUGAGCAAAAAGAGCGUUUCGCUCGUUUGGCUCGGAAAACUCAGUCGAACCUUAUCAUUUAGAGGAAGGAGAAGUCGCAACA
rnacentral:rRNA from 1 species